rnacentral:rRNA from 1 species
UACGUAGGAGACGAGCGUUGUCCGGAAUUACUGGGCGUAAAGCGCGUGUAGGCGGAUGAGCAAGUCCGCUGUGAAAGCUCCUGGCUUAACCGGGAGUGGUCGGUGGAAACUGCUCGUCUGGAGGACGGUAGAGGUAGGUAGAAUUCCCGGUGUAGUGGUGAAAUGCGUAGAUAUCGGGAGGAACACCAGUGGCGAAGGCGACUUCCUGGCCUGUUCUUGACGCUGAGGCGCGAAAGCUAGGGUAGCAAACGGG